rnacentral:rRNA from 1 species
UACGUAGGGGGCAAGCGUUGUCCGGAUUUAUUGGGCGUAAAGAGCGUGUAGGCGGCUUUGCAAGUCCGUUGUGAAAACUCGAGGCUCAACCUCGAGACGCCGGUGGAAACUGCAAAGCUAGAGUCCGGAAGAGGAGAGUGGAAUUCCUAGUGUAGCGGUGAAAUGCGCAGAUAUCAGGAAGAACACCCGUGGCGAAGGCGGCUCUCUGGGACGGUACUGACGCUGAGACGCGAAAGCGUGGGGAGCGAACAGG